rnacentral:rRNA from 1 species
UACGAAGGGUGCAAGCGUUACUCGGAAUUACUGGGCGUAAAGGGUGCGUAGGUGGUUUGUUAAGUCUGCUGUGAAAUCCCCGGGCUCAACCUGGGAAUGGCCGUUGAAACUGGCGAACUGGAGUGUGGCAGAGGGGGGUGGAAUUCCGCGUGUAGCAGUGAAAUGCGUAGAGAUGCGGAGGAACACCGAUGGCAAAGGCAGCCCCCUGGGCUGACACUGACGCUCAGGCACGAAAGCGUGGGGAGCAAACAGG